rnacentral:rRNA from 1 species
UACGGAGGGUGCGAGCGUUGUCCGGAAUCAUUGGGCGUAAAGGGUGCGUAGGCGGCGCGGUAAGUCGGGUGUGAAAUCUCGGAGCUUAACUCCGAAACUGCAUUCGAUACUGCCGUGCUUGAGGACUGGAGAGGAGACUGGAAUUUACGGUGUAGCGGUGAAAUGCGUAGAUAUCGUAAGGAAGACCAGUGGCGAAGGCGGGUCUCUGGGACAGUUCCUGACGCUGAGGCACGAAGGCCAGGGGAGCAAACGGG